AUUCCCCUAGUAACUGCGAGUGAAGCGGGAAAAGCUCAAAUUUAAAAUCUGGUGGUCUUUGGCCAUCCGAGUUGUAAUUUAGAGAAGCGUCUUCCGCGCUGGACCGUGCACAAGUCUCCUGGAAUGGAGCGUCAUAGAGGGUGAGAAUCCCGUCUUUGGCACGGACACGCCAGGGCUUUUGUGAUGCGCUCUCGAAGAGUCGAGUUGUUUGGGAAUGCAGCUCAAAAUGGGUGGUGAACUCCAUCUAAAGCUAAAUAUUGGCGAGAGACCGAUAGCGAACAAGUACCGUGAGGGAAAGAUGAAAAGCACUUUGGAAAGAGAGUGAAACAGUACGUGAAAUUGUUGAAAGGGAAACGCUUGAAGUCAGUCGCGUCGACCGAGACUCAGCCUCGCCUUGGCUUGGCGUAAUUCUCGGCUGACGGGUCAGCAUCAAUUUUGCCUCUUGGAUAAUGGCGAGGGAAAUGUGACACCUUUACGGUGUGUUAUAGUCUCUCGUCGCAUGCAAGGGUUGGGAUUGAGGAACUCAGCACGCGCCUUCGGGUGUCGGGGUUAUGCCCACGAUACGUGCUUAGGAUGUUGGCGUAAUGGCUUUAAACGACCCGUCUUGAAACACGGACCAAGGAGUCUAACAUGCCUGCGAGUGUUCGGGUGGAAAACCCGUGCGCGCAAUGAAAGUGAAAGUUGGGACCUCUGUCGUGGAGGGCACCGACGCCCGGACCAGACCUUCUGUGACGGCUCUGCGGUAAAGCAUGUAUGUUAGGACCCGAAAGAUGGUGAACUAUGCCUGAAUAGGGUGAAGCCAGAGGAAACUCUGAUGGAGGCUCGUAGCGAUUCUGACGUGCAAAUCGAUCGUCAAAUUUGGGUAUAGGGGCGAAAGAC
rnacentral:rRNA from 1 species